GGGUUUGAGGGCGAUCUGGCUGUGACAUCUGUCACCCCAUGAUCACCAGGGUUGAUUCGGCUGAUCUGGCUGGCUGGGUGGGUGUCCCCUUCCUCCCUCACCCCUCAAUGUGCUUCCCUCCUAAAGCUGGGUGCUCAGUUGGUCAAGGAGAAUGACCACCCCCGGUACGAAAGGACCAUUUCCUCGGUCAAGGGUAUAGCAGCAGCUGUGCUCCCCUGCUCGAACCUCCAAACAAGCUCUACAGAUGUGGGUCCUGGAAGAAAACCGCACAUCUGAAAUCACAGAAAUUUUUCUUUGUUUUU
ensembl:misc_RNA 7SK 7SK RNA